rnacentral:lncRNA from 1 species
UUAGUGUCUUCUUAAAAAGAGUUUCUAUAGAUUCUAUUGUUUUCAAAAAGUGAUUUUGGACUUAACUAAUUAGUGACAGCGCACGUUAAUAUAAAGUCAUAGUUUAUUCAACAGAGCGAGAGUUUGAGAAAAGACUUUUAAUCAAUAGUGUCUACUGAAAAGAUUUAUUUUAAAACUAAGAAACUAACGAAGAUUUGAUCCCCUAAUUACGACGAACUACGUACCGAUAUCCGCUUAUUUGAUAUUUAAUCUAGAUCUUAUUUUAGUUUUA